rnacentral:rRNA from 1 species
ACGGAAGGCAGCAGUAGGGAAUAUUGCACAAUGGGGGAAACCCCGAUGCAGCAACGCCACGUGUGGGAAGAAGCAUUUCGGUGUGUAAACCACUGUCGUGAGGGAAUAAUGCUUGGUUUCGGCCAAGUUGAAUGUACCUCGAAAGGUAGCACCGGCAAACUUCGUGCCAGCAGCCGCGGUAAUACGAGGGGUGCAAGCGUUGUUCGGAAUCACUGGGCGUAAAGGGAGCGCAGGCGGAGAUGCAAGCAGUCUGUACAAUACCGGGGCCCAACCCCGGACCUGCAGACUGGACUGUUUCUCUUGGAUAGUUCAGGGGCAAGCGGAAUUCCUGGUGUAGCGGUGGAAUGCGUAGAGAUCAGGAAGAACACCGAUGGCGAAGGCAGCUUGCUGGGGACUAAUCGACGCUCAUGCUCGAAAGUGCGGGUAGCAAACAGGAUUAGAUACCCUGGUA